UUUAUAAGAAAAUUUUUAGAAAACAAUAACUAUUUAUGGAAGACUAUAGAGGAACUCAGAAACAAUUCUAUCACAAUAUAUUUUUUUUUUGUAAAUUUAAGACAAUUUCUUAAUACAUAUACUACAAUUAUUUUGUAUAAUAUAAAUUGAAAAUACUACUCAUCAAAUCGAGCAAUAAUAAUAAUUAAAAAAAAAUCAACAAGGC